UUUCAAACUGAAAAGCAAAGGCUUCCUGAAGAAGCUAAGCCUCUGCGGGCUUCUCUUGAAAGUUUGCAAAGUUUACUCGCUCUUUUCGAGAAUUCAAAUUUAAAUCAUAUGAAUUUAAAUUAAAAUAAGAUAUUUAUAUCUCUCUCUUCUGCUCUCCUUCCUUCUCUCUUCUUCCUCCUACCCAUAAUCUCUAUUAUAUUUCUCCCUUUUAUAUUCUUAGUAUUUCUUCAGUACAGUCUUUAUUUCAACUAUUCGUUUUCUAAUAGUUUCUUCGUCUUAUUUGCAGGUUAAAUUUUCUUUAAUAAAGUGUUGGAUAAUUUGCCCCAAAGAUAGUAUGGUUGUCAAUUUUAGGUUGCUAGCAGAUGAAGUGCUCGAUGGUUUGUCCCAGAGAAAAAAGAUGUUAGGUUACAAACCAAAGAGCGCAAGAGCGCAAAAGAACUCUGCAGAGAAAGAGAAUAUCUCUGAGAAUUUCUGCUAAGACCUAACGUGCAACUUCGAUCUAACACGAAUCGUGAACUCAGGGAAUAAUAAUGGAAGCAGUUGAUAGAGUAGUUAAUAGAGUUGAUAGGACUAAUGCUGUUAAUGGGACUAAUUGUGUUAAGGUGACUAAUGGUGCAACAUAGGAAGCUUAUGGUGUACUUGCACAUGUCAACAUCGUACAAGUGGACGAGAAUCAGAAAUGGUCUAUCAAGGUCUACACCGCCUCAGAUUUAGAAACUUAAGAAAUAAAUGGUAUGGACUACUUCACUAGCUACCAGAGGAUUGUUCCAUACCCGGAAAUCAGGAUUUCAAUUGGUUGUACUUGCAUCGGAUGUUACUAGCUCUCUCCAAAUCAUGAUACGCGACAGAGAGAAGCCUAAUUGGGAAAACAGCUCGAGAGAUUAUACCUCAGGAUGCCGCAGCUACAUACUUUCCACAGAGCUUUAAGCUUCUGGCAGGAAGACCAUUCACAUUUAAAAUGGAAAUCAUUACAACAAACAUUUGGAACAGAAGUACACAGUAAUGGGCAACUAAUGUGUGCAACGGUUUCAAGCUGGUUGCUUUUUAUGAAAAAUGAUUCGUCCAUGUAUAACUUCCUCUAUGUAUUAAAUUUUUUUUAAUUUUUAAAGCCCUGCAACGCGGGCAUCAAUACUAGUAGCAAUAACGACACCUAUUUUUAGCUCA